GACGAACGCUGGCGGCGUGCCUAACACAUGCAAGUCGAGCGAAGUUUAUUUAGCAGCGACUUCGGUCAAAGCUGAUUAAACUUAGCGGCGAACGGGUGAGUAACACGUAGGCAACCUGCCCAUGACACGGGGAUAGCUUCGGGAAACCGGAGGUAAUACCCGAUACCUUUACUUAUUGCAUGAUAAGUAAAGAAAGCGAAUAGCGGUCAUGGAUGGGCCUGCGUCCCAUUAGCUAGUUGGUGAGAUAACAGCCCACCAAGGCGACGAUGGGUAGCCGACCUGAGAGGGUGACCGGCCACACUGGAACUGAGACACGGUCCAGACUCCUACGGGAGGCAGCAGUGGGGAAUCUUGCGCAAUGGGCGAAAGCCUGACGCAGCGACGCCGCGUGAGCGAAGAAGGCCUUCGGGUCGUAAAGCUCAGUCAUUGGGGAUGAGAUGACAGUACCCAAGGAGGAAGCCCCGGCUAACUACGUG
rnacentral:rRNA from 1 species